UCCUCGUCUCCUUCAGCCGUGUCCUUCAUGAAAAUGAAUAUUAGCAAAACAUAAGACACAGUCAGCAAUGAUGUAGUCAUUUACUGGAAACAUGACACCCAAAAAGCACACAUCAUGAUUGUUUUGUCGAAGUUAUACCUCCGGGGUUUUGUGAAUGAGGAUUCCUCACGCGCUCCCUUCAGUGCUGAUUUGCGCGCGCUCUCGGUGGUGACGGGCAGAGAGUGGCGCGGCGUCCUUACGCUACCUUGAGAGGGGGGAAAAGGAUGCGAAAAACCGUUUUUCAGGUCAGCACGGGGUGAGAUUCGCUUAAUCCGACCCUCGUUACCAUCCUCAACGCGUUCAGCUUUGAAUCUCCCACCCCCAGGAUAGAAAAAUUGACGCGCGUGUUUGAGGAAAAUGCUGACGCGUUGACGGCAUGUUUGAUCGGCUCGUCGACUGCUGAGGGAUAUUAUUAUUACUCUUAAGGACUUUUUGUGGACUAGAACGAUCGUCUUGGGUGACCUUUUUCAUAUGGAAACUCUUUCUUUGAGAAUGACAUGAAUUUGGGGGUUUUAAUAAGACGAAUGCAAAGGACGAAUAGAUAUAACCUGCUGAGGGAUAUAUUUAUCGACGACUUUUUAUGAACGUCGUAAAGAUCGCAUUUAGUCUAUGUGGGACUACUUUUUCCUCCGGGAAGGCUGUUUUUUGUUAUAAAUAGACGUUCAUUUGAAAUCAGCCAGGUAAAUAGCCUGCUGAUGAACUGUAUGAGGAAACAGGCAUGUGGAUAAACUGAACGGGACUUCAGCAAGAGUUUGGCGCAUCUACAUCCACUGGUGAUGCCGGAGGUCACUUCCACUAGAAGCGACAGGCUAGCAUCCAAAGGCAUUAUGUUUUUAUGCAACACCACAGCCAUCAAGGACUGGAGCUACUUUCUCUCUCAGAUCUUGCCUCUUGUGAAUAAAUCAGCGGGGUUUGUCCAUCAGAGUAUGGAUCGGGUGGAGGCGGUGACGAGCACUAUGGUGACCGCUCUGGAGCCCGACCUGAGCGGGAUGAGCGCCAGUCAUCCGCCGCUGAACUCCAAUCACACGUCCGGAAUGGAGCAUGUUUUUCAGUACUCGUACUCGGAGGGUGACCUGCAGUACACGGACUACAGGACGCCCCAGAGGGACUCGAUACCGCUGCCCAAAGCGGUGCUCUAUCUGGUCAUGGCUGCGCUGGUGGUGGUGGCGGUGGCGUACGCGAUUGUGGGACAUCUGGUAAAGGAUCUCGUGCAUGAGUUUGUGGAAUGGGUGUUUGGUCCUCGUUCAGAAAACCACCGCAGGAGCAAGAGUGAGGUGAACUGCAUCAGCAGCAGCGUGAAUGAAAUGAACGAUCUCUCACAUGCACCGGAAACACUCUGUAUCACUUAUAAUCACUCCAUGAAGCCUGAAGAACUGGUGGUGACCAUCGACGAGACUUCGCCGAUGCCUCAAGAAGCCUACGCCGGGACAUAAGCAAGAGGAAAAAAAACACUGCGAAUCGAUUCAGCCCUUUAUUAUGAGGAGAAAAGCACAUUUGCUUCAGUUUGAGGUGUCGAAAAGCGACGCUGUGAAGUCAAACCAAUGGAGAAACUGAGGAGUCUAGCGGAUAAAGUACACUUGGAGCUCUGUGAGAGACACGUUAUAUUUUCAGAUUGAAUUUAUAACCCUGAGAAAGACUUCUUUAUCAUUCGCAUCAGUGUAAUCGCUCAGUAUUUUCUGUUAUUUGUUCAGUGGAGACAUGCACUGUGAAUCCUAGAAGUAGUUUGCUGCUCGCAAUCCAUUUUUUUCUUCUACAUGGUUUUGUUUUUCUACACUUUUGCGCAUAUUUAUGGCUGAGUGCUUUAUAGUAUUUGCGAAUACUCACGUUUAAACCACUUUGAGGUUCUGCUUGAAACUAGAUCUGCUCCCUGUAGGUUACUUGAAAAGUCUGGUAAUAAGGAAGAUUUAGAUAUAACAGCCCUUGAUGAUGAAAAAAAUCUAUAUUUAAUCUACAAAGGCAAAACAAGAGCUGUCCUUUUACUUUUAUCUAAGGCAGUGUUACCAAAAAUAGGUUUAUAUUGAAAAGAGACACUACACAGGCACCUAUCACUGAAAUUAUACAUAUAUAUUAUACAUACAUAUAAAUUAUACAUACAUAUAUAUAUAUAGUAUGAUAAUAUAUAUGGUGCACAGCAUAAAUGGGUACACCCCUUUUGAAAAUUACAAAAAAACUUAAGCAUUAUAUUAUAUAAUAUAUCAAUUAAAUGGCAGCACAGUGGCUAGUGUAAUGCCGCCACCCAACCCACUCCGAGCUGGUAUUGAACCGGCUACCUUUCGCAUGGUAGUCGGUUGCUCUACCAAGGAGGAUAAAGACCAUGGCCUCUAGAGCACCUUUCGAGGUCAGAGGAGUGAGGUUUACCUGCACAGCACUUACUAGCUGGCCUCUGCUUCACUCACCCCCCUAAACCUCACUCCCAUCCGGGUCACGGCACCAAUAAAAUGCAGCCAGUUCUACACCACCCAACCCGCUCCGAGCUGGUAUCAAACCGGCGACCUUCCGCACUAGAAUCGGUUGGUGAUGUUUACCUGCACAGCACUUACUAGUUGGCCUCUGCUACACUCACUCCCCUAAACCUCACUCCCAUCCGGGUCACGGCACCAAUAAAAUGCAGCCAGUUCUACACAACCCAACCCGCUAUCGAACCGGCGACCUUCCGCACUAGAGUCGGUUGGUGAGGUUUACCUGCACAGCACUUACGAGCUGGCCCCUGCUACACUAGCUCUGUUGCUCACAGCAAGAAGGUCACUGGUUCGAGUACUGGCUGUGCCAGUUGGCAUUUCUGUGUGGAGUUUGCAUGUUCUCCCCUUGUUGGUUUGGGUUUCCUCCGGGUGCUCCGGUUUCCCCCACAGUCCAAGCACAUACACUACAGGUCAAUUGAAUAAACUAAAUUGGUUGUAAUGUAUGAGUGUGAAUGAGUGUUUCCCAGUACUGGGUUGCAGCUGGAAGGGUAUCCGCUGCAUAAAACAUAUGCUGGAAUAGUUGGUGGUUUAUUUUACCGUGGUGACCUCUGACAUAGAGACUAAGCUGAAGGUGAAAUUUUUUACACCUCUGGUUGUUUUGUUAUUUUCCAUUUUGGCUUUGACUAAUGUAUAUAAACAAAACAUCUUAUCAUUUACAAAGUAUGGUAACACUUUAGUUUAUGUCAUAUUUCACACCCUUUAAUGAAUUAUUAACUGACUAUUAUUGAGAUUUUAACUGUUGUAAAGUAUGAUCUUAUUUUAUAUCUCAAGUCAUACCCAAUACCUAAACUACUAACCUAAUAACUAUAAAUUAGCAGCUAACUAGCAUUUUAUUGAGCUAUAAGUCUUAGUUAAUGGUUUGUUAAUAGCGUUAAUUGUACAUUAAAAUGAAGUGUGACUGAAAGUAUUAAAAUAAAAGGUGUAAAAGAGGUGUACUCAUUUAUACUGAGCACUGUAUGUAUAUAUAUAUAUAUAUAUAUAUAUAUAUAUAUAUAUAUAUAUAUAUAUAUAUAUAUAUAUAUAUCUCAGUUGAAUAUGAUCUUUUAUAAUAGAUUUAAGUGUUAGCAGGUGAUCUGAAAAGACUCAUAUCUUGUUUACGUCACUGAUAAUAAAGGGCUAUAAUUUCAGGUAGUCAUCGUUAUGAAGCUUCGUAACUAAGCAACACAUGAACUGAUAUUUUAAACUAUAAUGUGCAAAAAAGGGGGUAGUUUACAGAUUUAAGCUUCAUGGUUAUUACAAACUAUCGGAAAUAAGAUUGUCAGAUAUUUUCACCAACAACUGAAAAAAACUAAAACUACCGGCAAUUGAUCUGAUUAGUCUAAAUCAGGAGUGUCAAACUCAGUUCCUGGAGGGCCGCAGCCCUGCACAGUUUAGUUUCAAUCCUGCUCCAACACACUAACCUGUAGGUUUCAAACAAGCCUGAAGGACUCAGGCUUAAUUUGAUCAGGUGUGUUUGAUUAGGGUUAAAGCUAAACUGUGCAGACCUGUGGCCCUCCUGGAACUAAGUUUGACACCUGUGGUCUAAAUCAACCACUUUUUUUAAUCUUUGUUGCCAAAGUGUAAUUGUUAUGUGUCACAUAUUCAUAAAAAUGCUAAAUCAUUCAGUUGUAAUCCACAACCCAGGCUCAUUCUAAUAUACCCCUAUAUACAUAGAGAGCGCCAAAUAUGUCCCAGGAGCUACGUUUUUAGCAGUUUUUGAUUUUGCGAAUCCACCAGAGACCACUGUGUGCGCUUUUUGAGAUCUAAUAUUUCUCUUGCGAGUGCCAUUUGUGCCUGCUGUUCUCACAUAAAUCCACCAGAGGCUGCUCUCAACUGACUGACUGAUCGACUGACCCACCCUCUUCCUUUCCUAAACUAAACCGAUGGUGUUUUCAAAAGCACUGAUUGACCCGCCCACCCACGUCCCUGAACCCAACCAACAGUGUUUUCAAAAGCAACGAUUAAUUUGCCUACUGACGUCUCUGAACCCAACCAACAGUUUUUUCAAAAGCACUGAUUAAUUCGCCCACUACCUUCCCUAAACCCAACCGACAGUGUUUUUAAAAGCACCGAAUAAUUUGGCCACCCACUUCCCUGAACCCAACCGACAGUGUUUUCAAAAGUACUGAUUAAUUCGCCCACUACCUUCCCUAAACCCAACCGAUAGUGUUUUCAAAAGCACCAAUUGACUCCCCCACCACCUUCCCUAAACCCAACCGAUAAUGUUUUCAAAAGCACAGAUUGACCCACCCACCCACUUCCCUAAACCCAACCCAAAGUGUUUUUAAAAGCACCGAUUGACCCGUUGAUCCACUUCCUUAAACCCAACCGACAUUGUUUUCAAAAGCACAGAUUUAGUUUUUUUUUUUCUGCUUUCUGGACCCGGUCUUUGCUGGACUCGAACCCUGUCAGUAUGUCACAAGUUCACCAUUUUACACGGCAAGCUACUGGACAAACUGGUAACAGCAGGAAAGCCAUCCAUACAGAGGUAAUCGGUCAGCUGGUAAGCGUGAAUAUGAACUGCAUCAUACCACCAUGUAGUGUUUGUUUUAAAGAUGAAAUGCAGCUAUAUGUACUUCUGGCUACAUAAUUCGUGAUCUCCACAAAUGUAUUUAGGGCUACGUUUUCAGAAUGAGCCUGUGUUGGUAAUUUAUGUGUCCAGUCAUGCCAUGUAAACAAUGUUUGAAACUUACAAAGGUUGUAAAAAAAAACUCACACACAAAAGAUGUGUUUUCCUUUUGUUCAUGUCAUGUCCUGCUUUUUACACAAAGUCACCUUAAUAAAUAUGACAGUAUGUCAAUUUGAUCUAAAACAACUUUUACUUGGCCUUUU
ensembl:lincRNA